CCGUUCCUCGUUCCUCGUUCCCACCGUACCGGAAACAUGACAACUAUGCCGCAGACAGAACCUGGAGCAACCCACCCCCACCUUCUUCCUUGCACCCCUACCCGCCAGCGCAUCCCACGGCACAACCUCCCUCCUCCCACCUUCUUCCCCGCACGUGAACCACCUCCCGGCCCCGCUUCGUCCCCCACCACCUCGCCCCACCACCCAUGUCGCGUGCCCAUUCCCCCCUCCUUCCCCCCGGUGCUCUGGAUCCACCCGCACGGCGAGAUCCGUGCGCGGGCCUCCUGGCACCGCCACCCACCCACCCCGCCGCACCGGCCUUGAGAGCUCCCCUGGCUCCUUUCCUCCACGGCCGAUCGAGCACCACUGAUUUUCCCAACCGGAUCCGGCGGAAUCCUUCUCCACCUCCCUCCUCCCGCGCCUGCCCCGGCCUCCCGCUGCCGUGCCGGCGACGAUGCCGCCCCGCUACCCCACCUUACCCUCCUCCACACCCAUCCCAUCGUCGCUGCCCAAACCAGAGGCACCUAGGAUCCGAGCUCCCGAGCAGCGCCGAGUCCGGCGAUGGCCAUCGGUUCAGUGCAGCUCGGAGGCGUGAUUUGGUUUAGUCUCCACCGCGCCUAUCGUCUCCGGUGUGGACUGCUGCAACAAUGCCUCGUGGUGCUUCGUGGCGCUUGCAGUUCCUGACCGUGAGCACCAUCGGCCAUCCCCCACAGCGAUCCGGGCGGCACGAGCCCCGGACGCGGCCAUCACCACCGGAUCCGGCGGCCAUGGGCACGGGCACGACCAUUAGCACUGGAUCCGGCGCCACCACUGAAGCCACGCCGGCCAUCUACGCGCGAGCAACUCCGGCGUUGGGGCACGCCGGGAACCGCCACGCCUUGCUCCUCUAGCACGCCGGAGACGUGAAGGGGAGGAUCCCCUAACUCCCCUGCCAAUCGUCGCGGCAUGCGACCUCCUCUCCCUUCGAGCUCGCCGGCCCCUCGUCUCCUACAGCUGUGCAGUCCGGCGACCACAGCCGUGCAGUCCGCGCCCGUGGCCGUGCAGCUCGGACAAGUGCGCAAACGCAAUGAAGUUCCUUGCUCGUGUGCGUGCUGCUCGAUGAACACAACUGCACUGCAGCUCCUAGAUGGUGGACUACGGAAGGUGCGGGGCUCCUCCGACGUGCUCCGGUGGCCAAGUCCUUCCCCUCUGUGUUGCUCGUUGCCUGAUUCCCGACACCGGCGGGGCCAAAAGAGGAGGAGAGGGCGGCAACCUACCUCUACGUCUAUGCCUUAGCUCACGGAGUUGCGCUCGGCUCCAGCGACAUUCAGGACGGCCUUGUCAACCUUGUCCCUUGCCAGAAACAAGAUUUCGUCGCCUUCCGGUUUCUCAAACCCGCACAGCUCGAGAAAAUAUAUGCCCCCGAGGCUCCCAACUCUCUCCUGCAAGGCACAAAAAAGAUCAUCAAUGUCGGAUUGUGCGGCAGGUUAACACAUCAUUCUUUACCAGUCAUGGUAAUAGGGAAUUCGCCUGAAAUGUAGUAUUCGUAAGUCUGAUCUUUCUGAAUUUCUCCUCUUCAGGAUUCUUUACCACGUUUCCGAUGUAGGUGAGGAGUGUAUGAAAAGCCCUCUUUACUUCAGUGUCCUCCUCUUGUCACAACAUUAGCCUCGUGUAGGUAAGUAUAAUCAAAUGAUUAUAAUGUCCUGAUUUAUUUUAUAUGUAAGUUAAGCAAAAUCAGCAUCAUAUAACUAGUACAGUUUAUAUUAAGUUUUGUGAAUAUACUGGAGUAGCAUACAGUACGCCGACAUCACUGAUUGAGCUGUUAACUAAUGAUACCAAGGUUCAAAACAAAACAGGAAACCGAACCUGGCAAGUCAUUCACGAUAAGACAGUGUAUCCAUGCCCUUCCUCCUCUCCUCCACAACGGGACAACAACCGGAUGAUGUCGUGCAGUUCCUUAGCUCCUGGCCUACGGUUCAGGAAGCUUCGGUGUUCAGUCUGAUUUUUUUGGCGCGUGGUUCAGGCGACCUAGGUGUUCAGUCAGAUUGCAGUUCGCCCGCGAGAUCCUAGCCGCCAUGCAGUAGGGCCAGCGAGACCCACCCUAUAUAUAGAUGAUUCAGAACAGUUUCUUCCCACAUUUUUCUGGAUUUUGCAUGUGCGGUUCAGUGAGAUCCCAGCAAAUAUUCUGUGUGUAUUUCUCAGAUUAUGGCUGUUGAUUUGGGUGAAUUCAGUUUCCAAUGAAGUUUGUUAAAUCUCUC